CCUACGGGAGGCAGCAGUAGGGAAUAUUGCUCAAUGGGGGAAACCCUGAAGCAGCAACGCCGCGUGGAGGAUGAAGGCCUUCGGAUUGUAAACCUCUUUUGUUAGAGAAGAAAAUGACGGUAUCUAACGAAUAAGCACCGGCUAACUCCGUGCCAGCAGCCGCGGUAAUACGGAGGGUGCAAGCGUUACUCGGAAUUACUGGGCGUAAAGAGCGCGUAGGCGGGAUAGCAAGUCAGAUGUGAAAGCCUAUGGCUUAACCAUAGAACUGCAGUUGAAACUGUUAGUCUAGAGUUUGGGAGAGGUAGGUGGAAUUCUUGGUGUAGCGGUGAAAUGCGUAGAGAUCAAGAGGAACACUCAUUGCGAAGGCGACCUGCUGGAACGUAACUGACGCUGAUGCGCGAAAGCGUGGGGAGCAAACAGGAUUAGAUACCCUUGUAGUC
rnacentral:rRNA from 1 species